rnacentral:rRNA from 1 species
UACAGAGGUCUCAAGCGUUGUUCGGAUUCAUUGGGCGUAAAGGGGUGCGUAGGUGGCGCCGUAAGUCAGGUGUGAAAUUUCGGAGCUUAACUCCGAAACUGCAUUUGAUACUGCGGUGCUUGAGGACUGGAGAGGAGACUGGAAUUUACGGUGUAGCAGUGAAAUGCGUAGAGAUCGUAAGGAAGACCAGUGGCGAAGGCGGGUCUCUGGACAGUUCC